AAUACGGGGGGAGCAAGCGUUGUUCGGAUUUACUGGGCGUAAAGGGCGCGUAGGCGGCACUACAAGUCACUUGUGAAAUCUCCGGGCUUAACUCGGAGCGGCCAAGUGAUACUGUCGUGCUAGAGUGCGGAAGGGGCAACUGGAAUUCUCGGUGUAGCGGUGAAAUGCGUAGAUAUCGAGAGGAACACCUGCGGCGAAGGCGGGUUGCUGGGCCGACACUGCCGCUGAGGCGCGAAAGCCAGGGGAGCGAACGG
rnacentral:rRNA from 1 species